rnacentral:misc_RNA from 1 species
GAUGAAGAACGUAGCGAAAUGCGAUACGUAAUGUGAAUUGCAAAUUCAGUGAAUCAUCGAGUCUUUGAACGCACAUUGCGCCCCCUGGUAUUCCGGGGGGCAUGCCUGUCCGAGCGUCAUUGCUGCCCUCAAGCACGGCUUGUGUGUUGGGCCCCGUCCUCCGAUCCCGGGGGACGGGCCCGAAAGGCAGCGGCGGCACCGCGUCCGGUCCUCGAGCGUAUGGGGCUUUGUCACCCGCUCUGUAGGCCGGCCGGCGCUUGCCGAUCAACCCAAAUUUUUAUCCAGGUUGACCUCGGAUCAGGUAGGGAUACCCGCUGAACUUAAGCAUAUCAAUAAGCGGAGGA